AUGGCGCUAGGAGUGAGGGGUGCUGGUGAUGUGAUGGCAUGGUGGAUGGAUAGAUGGAUGGAUUCGGGGAGGAGAAGGAGAUGGUGCUGGUGGUGCGUGGUGGAGAUGGAAUGGAUGGAUGGCUGGGUGGCGCACUGCUACGCCGGCCUGGCCGCGGCAGCGGCCGGAGGUGGAGAAGGAAGGGUGAGGGAGAGAGGUGAGAUGCCAGGCCCGAUUUGGGAAUCAGGGCGUCUAGGGAUUUUGACCUCCUAUGAUCUGCCAUUUUUUCACUUUGGCCCUCCUGCUUCCUUUCUUCUCAAGAUGAUCCUCCAACAUUAG
rnacentral:rRNA from 1 species